UACGUAGGGUGCGAGCGUUGUCCGGAAUUAUUGGGCGUAAAGAGCUUGUAGGCGGUUUGUCGCGUCUGCUGUGAAAAUCCGGGGCUCAACCUCGGGCGUGCAGGCGAUACGGGCAAUACUUGAGUGCUGUAGGGGAGACUGGAAUUCCUGGUGUAGCGGUGAAAUGCGCAGAUAUCAGGAGGAACACCAAUGGCGAAGGCAGGUCUCUGGGCAGUUACUGACGCUGAGGAGCGAAAGCAUGGGUAGCGAACAGGAUUA
rnacentral:rRNA from 1 species